ACGUGUUCCAACUGCCCUUCACCGGCGCUGGGCUCCCCGCUGUGGCCCCAUCUUAUCUCAGACCUCCUGGGCACCUCAGCUGAGCCCUGCUUUUCUUCUGCUUUUACCGGCCUUGGCUUCACAUCACCCAAAGAGGCUCAGUGCCCAGCCCUGAGCGGGGAGGGGUGUGUGUGUGUGUCCUCUCCUCCCCAGCUGCUCAGAAGUGAGCGGCUCUCAGAUGUUUGCCACCUGGGGACCACCCAGAAGUGUAAAUCUUGCUCCCUCGGGGACAAAUAGACCUCACCCUGUUACCCACUUACAGUCAGUUAUAUUUUGAAGCUGAUGAUACAUUAGCCACUCGCAUCAUCUUGCCUCCAGGAGACCGAGCUGAAGACCCUGGGAAACUCGGGGAGACGAUAAGCUCACCCAAGUCCGCGGGAUGAAAGAAAGACCCGUAGCACUGUGUAGGUCUCCAGAGCGCCCUCGGAAGGGUAUUUGCUUUCCCGGUGAAUCAAUCCUAGGUCUCUAAGGCGAACUUAAAAUUCAAGUCAGUGAAGAUGGCUUGCAUAAAGCGGCCAGUUGCCUUAUGUGAGUUCUUUGGUCCCAUUGCCUUGCCCUGCUGGAGGUGCUGUGCCCCUUUCAAGCAGUGACUCCUGUGAGGAGGGCGCCAGGAGAGUCUCUGGCUCAGCCUCAGUUUUCUGCUUCCAGAGAGGGUGACAAAAUCCUUCGCUUGACGUAGACCAGCUGCCAGCUUUCUGCUUAACCCGGAGGGACGCUUUCCCACGCUGGGACCGGAGUCAUCGUUGCAUGAGUUGCCAAUGCUACAGCGAUUCCACUGUUGUGGGUAGAGCUGAUCUUCCCUCGCACAUUGUUGGGGCCCUUGUUGACUUCCGUCAUAAUGCCCAUCAAGGACCCGAGUGGGGGGACGGCUGAGAGCAAACCGCUCAGUAGUGUCCUAGAAGACCAAAAGCUAUGUCAGACGGCCGUGGCAGGCUCUGCCGGUUCUGUCUCCCCUAGACCUUGGCUACUGGAAUGCUUUCAGUCACUGACUUGGCUGACCUGUCCUCGGUCUUGUCUGCCCCUUGACCCAGAGAAGGAAAGCACAGUGAAGUGCGCUUUUUCUCCCCGUUUUUUUUUUUUUUUUUUUUUUUUUUGUUUGUUUUUUGUUUUAACUCGAGCUGACCUUGGAUUAGAUUUUUAAGUCAACUUUUGCUGGUCUUCUCAGUAAUACGAAUGGAAAAAUCUUGAAGCUUCUGAACUCCUGUUGCUCAGUUAAAGCUGCAAUGUCUCCUGCUAUUGACCCCCUCAUGCUUCCAGCACCCCAAUGCUUUCCAGAUAGCCUGCUUCUUGCGCAGCGGAGUCACCUGCACCCGUGUAUGUGAAUUCUUCCCUCCUUUUCAUACUGAACCACACUCUAGACACUUUUCCCCCCCCCAAUGACUUGGCCCACCAGAACACCAUUACCACUGCAGUCACAGCCGCUACUGGAGCCAGCCAGCGUGUGCGCAAGGCCCGUUUCCCAGCCUGCUUUGGGACUGUGGUUUCACUGACUUCUGUCCCCAGAUUUUGCUCUUGAAGCCUGGCCUCGGCUCCAAAGAGACACUUUUCUUGGGAAGGCCCCUCUGACCCUUUUGGAAGUGUCAGUACUGUGUAGAGGAGAUGAGCUCUGAGUGACUUUUGUCCCUGGCCAUGGUCGCGUCUCAGUGAAAAUACCUGGUCAACGAGCUACGGUAUCUCCUCCAGUGUCUGAAGAGACGGCACCACGGCAAAGUCACCUGUGUUAACAGGUGCCCCCCGAACCUUUGGUGAGACGACCCCAGCUCUGGCAUACACAGGUUUGGCCAGUGCUUAUAUCUUUGUUGAAGUCAGAUGUGUAGGCACACCACCCCAUCUCUGUUUCCUGCUGCAAGAUCUCUGCAAAAUUAAGACGUGGAAGCUCAUUUUAAGAACCAGAGUGACUGUUCUCCCCACAAAAUCUUGCUCCAUCGGGAAGAGGAUCAGUUUUAUGUCCUUAAGAAACUCCACUUUCUGACUUCCCUUCUGAACUUUAGAAGUAAGGGAUUUGAAACUAGAUGGACACAAGGCUGGAGGAUGCAGAGUCAGGACAAUGUGGUCUUGCUCUUUUUUUUUUUUUUUUUAAAAAAUCUCCGUUCCAAUUUCUCCAAUAUCUCUGCAGGUGGCAUUGCACCAGCUGUGUGCUGGAAACGGUGCUUGAUAUUUCUCCCUUAAAAUGUUUUAACAUCUCUUUUUGUGUGUGACUUAUGAAAAACAAGUUGGACUUA